UACGUAGGGUGCAAGCGUUGUCCGGAAUUAUUGGGCGUAAAGAGCUCGUAGGCGGUUUGUCGCGUCUGCUGUGAAAACUGGAGGCUCAACCUCCAGCUUGCAGUGGGUACGGGCAGACUAGAGUGCGGUAGGGGAGAUUGGAAUUCCUGGUGUAGCGGUGGAAUGCGCAGAUAUCAGGAGGAACACCGAUGGCGAAGGCAGAUCUCUGGGCCGUAACUGACGCUGAGGAGCGAAAGCGUGGGGAGCGAACAGGAUUAGAAACCCU
rnacentral:rRNA from 1 species